AAGAAUGCGUGUACACGGUCCGU
rnacentral:siRNA from 1 species